UACGCAGGGGGCGAGCGUUGUUCGGAUUUACUGGGCGUAAAGGGCGCGCAGGCGGUCUUGAAAGUCAGGCGUGAAAGCCCCGGGCUUAACCUGGGAAUUGCGCUUGAUACUCUGAGACUGGAGUACGGGAGAGGAGAGUGGAAUUCCCAGUGUAGAGGUGAAAUUCGUAGAUAUUGGGAAGAACACCAGUGGCGAAGGCGGCUCUCUGGACCGUAACUGACGCUGAGGAGCGAAAGCGUGGGGAGCGAACAGG
rnacentral:rRNA from 1 species